UACGUAGGGUGCGAGCGUUGUCCGGAAUUACUGGGCGUAAAGAGCUCGUAGGUGGUUUGUCGCGUUGUUCGUGAAAUCUCACGGCUUAACUGUGAGCGUGCGGGCGAUACGGGCAGACUAGAGUACUGCAGGGGAGACUGGAAUUCCUGGUGUAGCGGUGGAAUGCGCAGAUAUCGGGAGGAACACCGGUGGCGAAGGCGGUUCUCUGGGCCUUACCUGACGCUGAGGAGCGAAAGCAUGGGGAGCGAACAGG
rnacentral:rRNA from 1 species